rnacentral:rRNA from 1 species
AGUGGGGAAUAUUGGACAAUGGGCGCAAGCCUGAUCCAGCCAUGCCGCGUGAGUGAUGACGGCCUUAGGGUUGUAAAGCUCUUUCGACGGGGACGAUAAUGACGGUACCCGUAGAAGAAGCCCCGGCUAACUUCGUGCCAGCAGCCGCGGUAAUACGAAGGGGGCUAGCGUUGUUCGGAAUCACUGGGCGUAAAGCGCACGUAGGCGGAUUGUUAAGUCGGGGGUGAAAUCCUGAGGCUCAACCUCAGAACUGCCUUCGAUACUGGCAAUCUCGAGUCCGGAAGAGGUUGGUGGAACAGCUAGUGUAGAGGUGAAAUUCGUAGAUAUUAGCUAGAACACCAGUGGCGAAGGCGGCCAACUGGUCCGGUACUGACGCUGAGGUGCGAAAGCGUGGGGAGCAAA